UACGGAAGGCAGCAGUGGGGAAUAUUGCACAAUGGGCGCAAGCCUGAUGCAGCCAUGCCGCGUGUAUGAAGAAGGCCUUCGGGUUGUAAAGUACUUUCAGUCGUGAGGAAGGUGUUAAGGUUAAUAACCUUAGCAAUUGACGUUAGCGACAGAAGAAGCACCGGCUAACUCCGUGCCAGCAGCCGCGGUAAUACGGAGGGUGCGAGCGUUAAUCGGAAUUACUGGGCGUAAAGGGCACGCAGGCGGUUAAUUAAGUUGGAUGUGAAAUCCCCGGGCUUAACCUGGGAAUGGCAUUCAAGACUGGUUAGUUAGAGUCUUGUAGAGGGGGUAGAAUUCCAUGUGUAGCGGUGAAAUGCGUAGAGAUGUGGAGGAAUACCGGUGGCGAAGGCGGCCCCUGGGACAAAGACUGACGCUCAUGUGCGAAAGCGUGGGGAGCGAAAC
rnacentral:rRNA from 1 species